UACGAAGGGGGCUAGCGUUGUUCGGAAUCACUGGGCGUAAAGGGCGCGUAGGCGGCCGAUCAAGUCGGGGGUGAAAUCCCAGGGCUCAACCCUGGAACUGCCUUCGAUACUGGCGAUCUUCGAGUCCGGGAGAGGUGAGUGGAACUCCGAGUGUAGAGGUGAAAUUCGUAGAUAUUCGGAAGAACACCAGUGGCGAAGGCGGCUCACUGGCCCGGUACUGACGCUGAGGUGCGAAAGCGUGGGGAGCAAACAGG
rnacentral:rRNA from 1 species